AUAUUUGAAAUUAAGGUCUAGCAUGGUCAACAAUUGUAGAGUAUCCUUAUAAGUGCCUGAUGAAAAGCAUAGAAAAAUUAAAUACAUAAGCCAUGAAAGUCACCUCAUCUUAAGUGUAUUUAUGCCAUAACAAAGCAUAAUUUAACGACUAUGUAGUUCUAAUACAUGUAAAGUAUUGUACUAAAAAUAACAUACAAGGUAGAAUAAUUACCCUGCUCCUGAUGUGAAACCUAUAUAGAUGAUAACCAGUAAUGUUACUUAACCUAAUUGUGUCUAAUACCCAAGCUUGAUUUGAAAUAUUUAGGGGAACCGCC